CGUGGUCACACAAGGUGAAGGGGCAACCUGGCUGGAGGAUAUUGCUACAAGCUAGAAAGCAUCAACAUCACAUCAGUUUCUCAUUUGCUUAUUCUCACUUGACCUGACUGCUUGCUUAGCAACUGCUUGGUAAUGCGUUCCUCAUUGAGAGGGGUGUGUGGGUCCCCAAGGCUUGGUGGUCAUGGUUGUGGGAUUGAGAGACUGGAUUUGCUCCAACAGAAGGGCAGCAGGGUUUUUCUAGCCUGUUAGAAAUGGGGAGCUCGACUGAUGGGACCAAGUCACCCUGGUCUUUCUCUGCAGGUCAGGUGGAAGCAGGGUGGAGCAGUGGGAGAGGCUGUGGUGAGGGUUACUCUGUGCUUUGAACUCUGAGGCAUCCCCAACUAGACAAGUCUGUGCAUCCUCCCUGCCCCUUCCAUCUGCACUGAGAGAUUCAGACCUGACAGGGAGGCAGGCGAGGAGAUGUUUACAUUGAGAAAGCUGAAGGCCAAUUUGACAUCCCUUGCAAGAAAGCCAUGGCUCCCAUCUGCUCCAAAAUUACCCAUCAGCAGGAAGCCAAUGCCACAUACUCCCACCAUCUCUGCAUUGUGAUCCAAAUUCAAAGUGGGAGUAAAACUUCCCAGCUCCACUGCAGUGAACUGAUCUACAGCGAAGACUUGACGUUGAGUAAGGGAGCAACAGGUCCCAUGCACUUUAUAAACUCCGUAAUGAAAUGUAGCCACCUGGCACACAGCACGCUGCCUAGCAGGGAGAGAGAAGGGGAACCUGAGCCAAGGAUGCAGAAUAAGUCCAGCAUUUUUCUAGGCAUGAUCCUUCAAGCGCUGUGAUGAAAAGAACAACAUCAUGUUUUUUCCUACCUGUGCAACCUCUCUGAACCAUCCCUGGCCACUGGGAAACUGCCACCUGUACCAAAUACAAAGUCUUUGCUCCGUGAAACAGGGAUGUGGAGUCUCACGAGGGACUUGCUAGAAAAAUUGUGUGUACCUGGGCAAAGCAACCUAUUUCCUGAAGCUCCUCAGCCAGAAUGAUUGUUUCACUUUGCCUUGUCACAUUCGUGGUGGAGACAUUCAGUUUUGUCCUAGUAGAAGGGAGCUCCAGUACAACCAGCGGCUAUUAAAUCUCUGGGUUUCUAUGAGAAAGCAUGGCCAAGGCAGAUCUAGAAGUGUCACUGCCAACUCCAACUUGUACCCUAGAGGUUUCUGUCAGCCCAGGGUAGACCUGAUCAUGAAACAGAGCUUCUGGAAACCCACCACCUGAGACAGACUGAGCAGCAGAGACAGGAGAAGGGGCAACCAGCACAGUUGAUUCAGCACUGACCGUACACAGCCAGUCUUUGAGGCCAGCCAACGGCUUGCAUGCUGUAAUCAUGAUGGAGCUGUCUUGUCCUAUUAAACCUCCAUUUUGGGACUCAGUGAGGCAAGAGGGGAGUAUGCACAGCUGCACAGAAACCUGUAAGAUGUGAACACUUGUGGGUCCUGCCAGAAAGGAUGACUCUGGAUUUAACCCCACAUGCAUGAAAGCUUGAGCCGUGCCUGGGCAGAGUGCCAGCAUCCAGCAACAGCCAGGCAGCUGUCAUGGAAAGGGAACAGUGCCCUGAGCUUGCUUUCAUGCACACCUUGUUUUCCUGGAAAGUGCAGUGUUCUGCACAAGCACCUGCAUCCAUGCUCACUCUCAUGCUUGUGUACCAGCCUUGAACAACACCAACAGACACGCUAAGUGUCACAUCCACAGUGAGAAUGAGGUGAUAACUCAUGUCCUCACAGUCCAUCACUGGAUGCUUUCAGAAGAACUGGAGCAUCACAGGAAGGAUGGAUCUUGUCUCCUUUCCCCGUAGAGUCACUCAGAGCAAACCCAAAAGUGGUGGUGUUCACCAAAGGCAGGUAUCAGUAAGGCACAGCUGGUGCUGCAUAAAUCAUAAAGAGCCAGUCAGCCCACAUGGAAAGAAAAGGCAUAUCUGACAAGGGAUUCUGAUGCUGUGUCCUCUAAUCUCACAGCUCCUUGCUAGGAGAUUAAAUCCACCUGCAGAGGUGGUAUCUUCAAAGGUGGUCACUGGGGCAGGAGAAACCCAUUCAUCUGAGAAGCAAUGUUCAGACAGGUCUCAUUAACUCAAAAAGAGCAAACAUGUUUGAUUUAAUAGCUGCUGCCUGACUGCACCCUAACAAAGAGCACUUUGCCACGGCCAGGACUCAUGAUCCUGACCAGCUGAAUACCACAGGCUGACAAAGUGCCAAAACUGCUGCCUUCACCUUGAAGUCAUCUGUGACCUGCAGCCAGGAUUGCCACGCAGACCCAUCUCUCAGCUUCUUGCACUACUGUGCUAAAAUCUUCGUCAUUAAAAAGACAUUUUUGCUUUGUUGUUGAUUAACCUGCCUUAAAUUAAUGAUGUGAAAACAUCAUCCACACUAAUGAGCUUAUGGGAAGGAUGAGAGGCAAAGGCAUCUCUGAAGCUAGACUUCUGUUAUACUUACAAACUAAAAUACAUGUAGAUGAGCAGCGUUUUUCAGAUCAGAGACAGUCACUUUGGAUACAUGUUCAUGUCUUUGAGCGUUGCCAGUGCCCCCACCACUUUCCAGCAUGUUGACAGGGAUAUCUUCGGGGAUGUGCCAAACCAUACUGAUUGUUGGCAGCAUUCUGAUUUUCUCUUAACUGAAUAUUCCAUAACCAUGUACUCAUGAAACAAACAAGUCCAAGAAAUUGCCUGUCUCUAAAAUCACAGGAGCACAAACUUGACCAGACUGCUGGGGAAUUGCUUGGCUAAGUCAUCUUAAUGGGGGAACUAGUGUGAACCCAAAGAUGUAUCCAAUACCGUGCAACAGGCAGUUGUCAAGGCUGUUGAGGAUGUUUUGUGCUUCCCUGUGUUCACUGUUUUUCCAAAGACAUAUUCUCCAGGACUAAAACCAGGGGUUUCCAGUCCCUCAUUCAUACUUGAGAAAACCAAGUUGGAUUCAGAAAGCCAAACAACUGCUUUAAAGACAUCUAUGCUUGCAUGUAAAUCCAUCAGAUCUAGUGAGAUACUCACUCUGCACAGACAGCACAGUCCAAAGCAAUGUCCUUGAAUGUACCGUAGUCUUUUAACUCUGUCAUUUUGCCACUGCCUAGGGACUGUUCAGGUCAGGUUGUUGGCACAGGUCUGAACCCUACCAAGAACCAUUCUCACAAGUUAACAGUAUCAUCAGUCAAGUUCCAGUGCCCAGGAACAUUCCUGGUGCUGUUCAUUUUCCUAGUACAGAUGGAGCUGUAAGAUCUGUGUUUUAUACCGAGGACUCUAAAUGCUCACACAAUCCCAUAACAGCUCUGAUUUGGCAAAGAGCAAGAGGGACAACCCACAUUUAUUUAGAAGUGAGCUUUCUGUGCCCCAGGUUUUGUGGUGGGUGCCAGGUGCUCUGCAUACCUCAGGAGGGAGCAAGCACUGUGCCAGGCUAGCAACUCCAGGCAGGCUCAAGCAUGGGGCCAGGGCAGAACAGGGGAUCUGAGGAAUUCCAGGCCAAAAUGCCAUCAGCAGCCACAGCAGCAAAGCAGCUGGGAAGACACAGAAACCGGGAAACGUUUCCCUUUCAAACAGAGAAACUGGUAGGCAAAGUCUCUGAAGCUGUGAGGCAAUGCUGACUCUUGAAUUUUGUCAUCGUUUGGCUUCAGUUCUCCUUUGAGUACCUGACUCAUGGCAUCAACUUGUCCGUCUCUGGCAGAGCUGGACUACAGAGGCUUUAUCUGGAGGCUAAUGGCUCUCACACAGCCAAUACAAGAGAACCACACUGAGCUGCAGUCUGUCGUGUGGCUUUAGGAAAAGUGGUCUGUUACCUCCUUUCCAGCCCCCAAACCACCUGCCUCAUCUUGGAGACCAGCUUUGGGACCUUCAUUGCUUGGGAUGCAGGUAACUGUAAGCAGGCUGCGAACUGGGAUCACAGCAUCCUUCUGUGGGCUCGGCUGGGAUGAGGGCUUGUCCAUGACUGCUCUCUUGAGCAUAUGCACUUGGAGAGACGCACGUGUCCUUCGUGUUAGCCAGCUGGGGACAUGCCUGAAGCCAGGCCAGAGGUCUGGCAGGGAAACCAGGUGGUGGCGAGCAUCCCAGACCCACCCAUGAGAGGGGUCCAGCCCCUCACCCCCAUCAGCACUCGGUUUCAAACCUGCAGAGAUCCACUCCAGCCAUUCCCCAGGCUUUCCAGGGCAAUGUGUGUCUGGAACAACCUGGUUCCCUUCACCUACCUACAGAACAAGCCGAGAACUGCCAGACGAGAGACAGGAAACUGCUACUUACCUAAUUUGAUUUUAUUUUACUUCUUUUUUAUUUUUUGUGCUCUCAGAAAUGUGUUCAGUCUGGAUUGAGGUUACA